rnacentral:rRNA from 1 species
AUUGAACGCUGGCGGCAGGCCUAACACAUGCAAGUCGAACGGUAACAGGAAGCAGCUUGCUGCUUUGCUGACGAGUGGCGGACGGGUGAGUAAUGUCUGGGAAACUGCCUGAUGGAGGGGGAUAACUACUGGAAACGGUAGCUAAUACCGCAUAACGUCGCAAGACCAAAGAGGGGGACCUUCUGGCCUCUUGCCAUCGGAUGUGCCCAGAUGGGAUUAGCUAGUAGGUGGGGUAACGGCUCACCUAGGCGACGAUCCCUAGCUGGUCUGAGAGGAUGACCAGCCACACUGGAACUGAGACACGGUCCAGACUCCUACGGGAGGCAGCAGUGGGGAAUAUUGCACAAUGGGCGCAAGCCUGAUGCAGCCAUGCCGCGUGUAUGAAGAAGGCCUUCGGGUUGUAAAGUACUUUCAGCGGGGAGGAAGGGAGUAAAGUUAAUACCUUUGCUCAUUGACGUUACCCGCAGAAGAAGCACCGGCUAACUCCGUG